UAAGGAAUAUUCCGCAAUGACCGAAAGGUUGACGGAGCAACGCCGCGUGUGGGAUGACACCCGAAAGGGCGUAAACCACUUUUCUGAGGGAGCAAAUUUUGAGUUAACUUCAGGAAUAAGUACCGGCUAACUACGUGCCAGCAGCAGCGGUAAUACGUAGGGUGCAAGCGUUACCCGGAAUUAUUGGGCGUAAAGCGUCCGUAGGCGGUUUUUAAGUCUGGUGUAAAAGUUCGGAGCCUAACUCCGAGAU
rnacentral:rRNA from 1 species